rnacentral:misc_RNA from 1 species
UUGUGGAGGAGGAUGCCGAAGGUAGGGCUAAUGACUGGGGUGAAGUCGUAACAAGGUAGCCGUACCGGAAGGUGCGGCUGGAUCACCUCCUAACAGGGAGACAACAAAAUGUUUAAUAUUAUUAUUUUGUCACCUUAGGUCGAUCGGUAUCUCACAUUCUUAAUUUAUUAAGGAUUUCAUUUCCUAAGUUUUUCUAGGUCACACCCAUUAUUUUUCCUGGGCCAUUAGCUCAGGUGGUUAGAGCGCACCCCUGAUAAGGGUGAGGUCCCUGGUUCAAGUCCAGGAUGGCCCAUAUCUCUAUGUUGGGGGUAUAGCUCAGUUGGUAGAGCGCCUGCUUUGCAAGCAGGAUGUCAGCGGUUCGAGUCCGCUUACCUCCACUGAUUACCACCUCUUCCAUAACCGGUAAAAAGGAAAUGUUUUGAGUUGUGAUCAAAUUCUGAAAGAAUCUAGCUUCCUAAUGAAAUCAUUAAGAUGCUGGACUCAUUGAAUUAAUUUUAUUGUUUUCAGAGAACCUUGACAACUGCAUAGAUUAUUUUUAAAGACAAUAAGCAUCUUUAAUGAUGCAGAUUUAUUAUUUGUGCGAAUGCAUUAAUAACAAUUCUAUUAAGCUGAUGCUUCAAUUUUGAAGUUAUUGGUCAAGCUACAA